UACAGAGGUCCCGAGCGUUGUUCGGAUUCAUUGGGCGUAAAGGGUGCGUAGGUGGCGCCGUAAGUCAGGUGUGAAAUUUCGGAGCUUAACUCCAGAACUGCCUUUGAUACUGAAGAUCUUGAGUUCAGGAGAGGCGAGUGGAACUGCGAGUGUAGAGGUGAAAUUCGUAGAUAUUCGCAAGAACACCAGUGGCGAAGGCGGCUCACUGGCCCGGUACUGGACGCUGAGGCGCGAAAGCGUGGGGAGCAACAGGG
rnacentral:rRNA from 1 species